CAGAACUGGAAAUCAACUAUACACUCAUAUAUUGAAGUUUUAAUCCUAUGCCUCUUAAGCCAAAUAAUCCUCUUUCAUAGUUGCAUAACAUGCAUGUGAUGACUUGUAAAGCCUCCAUCCUAAAACCAAUAAGACAAUAAAAAACAACUCUAAAUUGAAAAUAAGGCCACAACAACACCCAAAUGAAACUAGCCUAAAGACACUAGUUAUAUAUGUAGGCUUAAUGCCAACUGAAUCAAUGGCAAAACAAGCAGACUA
rnacentral:lncRNA from 1 species